GUUAGGUUUCGGAAGAUAAUGCCUCCCACUUUGUGCUCGAAGUGGAUUGGAAUUGGAAGCAAUUUCCAAAGUUGGAUGUUGAAGCUGACCAUAACCUAAAUUUUGGAACCUAUAUUCAAACCAAGUAUCAAGUAAAAAUUUCUACAUGUUACACCAUCAACCAUAUCCAGGGACCUACUACACGUCUUCUCCACGGCCUUCUCAGGAUCAUGCUGUUUGUUUCUACAAAGAGGCAUCGCCCAAUGCUUAUCUGCUGGUGCUUGUAUUGCUGGUUUUUUCUAACCCACUCAGUCUAAGGGGCCACAAAACAUGGAAAAUGGAGUAGUGCUAUAUCACUUACUAAUAAUGGCUCUUCCUAAAUGCUUUCCCAAAAGAGAUUCAACGGAUAAAUGCUUUGAUUUUGCAUAAUAUUGAAUGCUUUCACCAUGUGACACAAGCAAUUAAGAGAAUUAGGAAAGUCAUUUGUGUGAUUUAGUAUUCUUGCUCUUCUGACUUGUGUUGUUUUCAUUCCACGUCAAAUUUUUUCUUUGGCCUAAUCAUUGAAUCAGGGGUUGAGUUUGGUAAGGUCCAUAUAAGUGGCCGUGCGUAACACCGUGAUCAUGGCAGAGUAACAAAGGUCGUAAAAGGAGGCUAGUACUUGAGAGCUGAGCUUAUGGGCGUCAUUAAGCCAUUGGAUUGCAACGGUGAGGAAGACCCCUGCUUUCAGUCAUGGUGUGGCGGAGGAAGCAUCAGAGUACAGUAAAGUUUGGACAAUAGCUGUUGACGGUCAAACAAAAUUGUCUUUCAACACUGUUUGAUUUGGUAUGUUUUAUCUAGAUUCAUUGGGUGCCACAAUACCUAUUGAUACUUUUUUCUUUCCUAUGGAAAACACGUGGUGGUGCCACCAAAUAGGCCAUUAGAUUCCAUUAUUUGCAUAUGAUCUUAUUUGUUUGUAUUUUGUAUUUCCCUCUUUUUUUUUCUCCACAUUCCAGCAUCUAAAUGUGUCAGGGUUAGAACUUGAAACCUCUAAUGCUUUCUGCUACUACCUUCACAUAGUAGGAUCCUCUCAUUCAGUUUAUCAUCCAAAUCUGAGAGCCCUGGAGGAACGUUUAGACACCAGUACUCUUUCUACCCUUCUCUCUAAUGGCCUAUGAUUUAGUAGGAAUAUCAGUUCUCAACAUUGGUUUACCCAUCAGGACUCAACCUUUCGCUUAUGAUAUGACGGCGCCUAACCUGAUACUUGCUUAUCAUCAGAAGAAAAAUCAUAUAUAAGUAAUGGCCGGGUUGGACAUUGUAGGAGCCCUGACGCCUAAAAUCUUAGGGGCAUUAUUUUGGUGUCCAGAUGGAGUGGAAACUCAACAUGGUUGGCAAGUGAAUUAGUGGGAAGCUGUCAAGGACUCUCCCCAACCCACACUAGGCGAAGUGGCUAAGUCAUCCAUUUAUUGGGGGUAGUUGGAUGGUUUCUAUGCCAAACUGUACCAUUUAUCUCUAUCCAAUUCCUCUAUAGCUUUCAAUCUAGUGGUGCAGUUUUUGACAUUUUGUUGCAGCAAAACCAACUCAUGUGCUGACCUUAUAGCUAAGAAAUCUGAGCCCCAAUACACCCAACCCAAGCCCCAUAAGGUAAUCAGUGUCCGUGGACCCAGCAGCCUGCACCCAGCUGUCUUGUUUAGCUUUAAUUUGCUGGUUUUCUUGUCAAGCUUUAACUUCUAGUUUUAUAAGGUAUAUGGGAAGAAUAUCACACUGUCCAGAGAUUGUUAUUAUGGGCAAUGCAACAAUGACACCACCAUGAAGGUAGGACCCCAGAACCCUAGAACCUCUCUUUUCUUUCCGUAUAUAACACGAAGUUUGUCCAACCACUUCCCUACACUACUCCCAUAACCCAAUAAAUGGAUGUCACCACCACCCAACACCCACCUUCACUCACAAACCACCCCGUAUGGCUGGAUCUCCAGUUACAUCUUUGCUGAAUUAUAUUCCCAUGAUCAGAGAAGAGAGUUAGAAAGGAAAGGUAGAUGGAGAAUGAGGGAGUAUCUCUGUCGCGGCCAGUCAUAGGCUUUCCUGUCGGUCUAGCACUGCUACUUAUCAUGUUACUAUGCAUGAGCGCCCUCAUGUCUUUCUGCUUUCACUGGGAUAAGUUCCGAUGCCUCCGUCACUCUACUGAGGAUCACACUUCCAAUACUCAAUCCCGAAUUCCUCAUUCACCCCCCAAAUCUGUCCCCCCUCACAUGAAGUGGAAACAAAAUCAAAGUCCAAGCUUGCCAGUGUUGAUGCCCGGCGAUGAGGCACCCAAAUUCAUAGCAAUUCCCUGUCCCAGGGUCAUAGUAAAAGUGGAGACGCCGCUCGCCUUCCGAGAACCACUGUAUUAGCCCACUAAGGGAAUGGAUCGAUCAACCUGUUUUUUCUCAGGGCUGCUUACAGUUCAAAUUUGACAUUUCAAUGUAAUAAAACCAUCUUUCAAAUUGGGAUGUAUAUAUACAUAUAUGCAGAGUAACACAACCCAUUAAUGUAGCAAACUAAAUUUCAAAGGCA